CCUACGGGUGGCAGCAGUGGGGAAUAUUGGACAAUGGGCGAAAGCCUGAUCCAGCCAUGCCGCGUGUGUGAAGAAGGCCUUCGGGUUGUAAAGCACUUUCAGUGGGGAAGAAAGCCUUGGGGCUAAUACCCUCGAGGAAGGACAUCACCCACAGAAGAAGCACCGGCUAACUCCGUGCCAGCAGCCGCGGUAAUACGGAGGGUGCGAGCGUUAAUCGGAAUUACUGGGCGUAAAGCGCGCGUAGGCGGUCUGAUAAGCCGGUUGUGAAAGCCCCGGGCUCAACCUGGGAACGGCAUCCGGAACUGUCAGGCUAGAGUGCAGGAGAGGAAGGUAGAAUUCACGGUGUAGCGGUGAAAUGCGUAGAGAUCGGGAGGAAUACCAGUGGCGAAGGCGGCCUUCUGGACUGACACUGACGCUGAGGUGCGAAAGCGUGGGUAGCAAACAGGAUUAGAUACCCCUGAGUC
rnacentral:rRNA from 1 species